rnacentral:misc_RNA from 1 species
UCGGAUCGUUUUAGAAACAUCAGUGGCCAACGGUCGUCAGGAUCGUUGAGCUGCAUUGGCGGGAUUUCGCCGUCUACGUUUCUCUUUCUUCGCGGACGAACACGCGCUGGGGCUGCAAGCUUGCAGAUCCCUGGUCCUUGACUGGAUAUGCGUUAGGGGCUUGUAGCUCAGUUGGUUAGAGCGCGCGCUUGAUAAGCGUGAGGUCGGAAGUUCAAGUCUUCCCAGGCCCACCACACUCAUCGAGCGAGCAUUCGUCUUCUGGUUACGGGGCCAUAGCUCAGCUGGGAGAGCGCGUGCUUUGCAAGCAUGAGGUCGUCGGUUCGAUCCCGUCUGGCUCCACCAGAUGGUUUGAUCACCGAGAGCUCAACCGUCGUCCGCGAAACAUCACUUCGCACUUACUAGUCCGGAUGGACAGUAAGCUGCGUGAUUUCUGACAUCGUAAAGAGGAGAUCGAUCCGAGUUGGAUCGGGCAACAAGCAAUUGUUGCGCGAUACUUCAUUAUCUCCGGAUCAUUUCGGCGCUCGUGCGUCUUUCAAGGUCAAACUUGGGAGGCAAGCGAGUUGUAAAUGAUCCUUUUAGCGAAGCUUGACCGCCUCGCUAUCGGAACGAUCUUACGAAGCAAGCUGGUCUUUCUAAUCAAUGUCCGGCUGCGCAUAGCAUUCAUCGAGGGUGCGUGCCGAAAGGCAAUUGCGCAGACAACAUUCUGCCGAGUGUGUGGACAUUGAUAAUGAGAGCAAUCAAGUGCCUUAAGGGUGUUCGGUGGAUGCCUUGGCGCUGAGAGGCGAUGAAGGACGUGCUACGCUGCGAUAAGCCGUGGGGAGCUGCGAAGAAGCUUUGAUCCAUGGAUUUCCG